rfam:Eubacterium hallii CAG:12 genomic scaffold, scf342
GCAUUACUCUCUGGAGAGUCUUUACCUCAAUGUAAAGCGCCGAAGGUGUACGGCAGUAUAUCUGCUAAUCUCUCAGGCAAAAGGACAGGGCACUAUAA